UACGUAGGGCGCAAGCGUUGUCCGGAAUUAUUGGGCGUAAAGAGCUUGUAGGCGGUCUGUCGCGUCUGCUGUGAAAAUCCGGGGCUCAACCCCGGACUUGCAGUGGGUACGGGCAGACUAGAGUGUGGUAGGGGAGACUGGAAUUCCUGGUGUAGCGGUGAAAUGCGCAGAUAUCAGGAGGAACACCGAUGGCGAAGGCAGGUCUCUGGGCCACUACUGACGCUGAGGUGCGAAAGCGUGGGGAGCAAACAGG
rnacentral:rRNA from 1 species